CGAGUUUGGAAGCAGUAGAGACCCCCUCCUGAUGACCUUGAAGGAUCCGAUAGCCUGCUAUGGAGAGGGCCAUGUGGCAGGGAACAGAAGGCAGCCCCCAGGAGCAGGAAGCAGCCUCUGCUCAAAGGCCAGCAAGAAAACGGGAACCUCGGCCUAUGACCGUGAGGACCUGGCCCCUGCUGAGCACGUGAGCAAGCAUGGGAGAGGCCCCUGAGCUCCUGAUGAGUGCAGCCCUCCCAGACCUGCUGGACUCCCAAGCAACGGAAACUGUAAGGUGAUCCUGCUGAGCUGUAAAACAUUGCAUACCACG
rnacentral:lncRNA from 1 species